rnacentral:rRNA from 1 species
UACAGAGGUGGCAAGCGUUGUUCGGAAUUACUGGGCGUAAAGGGUUCGUAGGUGGCUUGCUAAGUCAGACGUGAAAUCCCUCAGCUUAACUGGGGAACUGCGUCUGAGACUGGUGAGCUUGAGUGCAGGAGAGGAACGCGGAAUUCCAGGUGUAGCGGUGAAAUGCGUAGAUAUCUGGAGGAACACCGGUGGCGAAGGCGGCGUUCUGGACUGCUACUGACACUGAGGAACGAAAGCCAGGGAGCAAACGGG